rnacentral:lncRNA from 1 species
GGAGACUGAGGGAUUAGAAGACAGAGGUCUCUGUGGAAAGUGAUAUGUGACCAGCCAGGGCUUGUGGUAUACUGGAAACAUGACAGAGGCUGAGGGAAUGGGAGCUCAAGCCCCACCGUCCUAGCCAAUAUCUAAAGACUAUGCUGUGACCUUAACCUGAGAGAAGACGAUCUGUUCUGCCUCUUAAAGGACCUCCUCUGUCACAGGACAUCCACUGUUUAAGCACCACCACUACCUCAGGAAGUCCACUGUCUGUGUGUCAACUCCACUGUUACAGGACUUCAAGUUUCUCAGCAUCUCAACUAUCACAGGAUUUCUACUGUGCAGGAGCUCAAGUGUCUUACAACGUCCAAUGUCAUAGGACCAUCAAUGUCACAAGAACUCCUCUGUCCAAGGAACUGCACAGUCCAAACAACACUAUGAUUGCAGGACAUUCACUGUGGAAACACCUCCACUAUGGCAGGGCCUCCACUGUCCAUACAUCAACUCCACUGUCGCAGAUCCCCCAUUGCUGCAGACCUCCACUGUCACAGGACCUCCACUGUAGGAGCACUACAACUGUCGCAGGAUCUCCAGUGUCUUAUAACCUGCUCUAUCCCAGGACUUCCACUGUUGUAGCAUUACCAUGGUCACAGCAACUACACUGUUUCAGGACAUCAAGUGAAGCUGGACCUCCAAUGAUGCUCCAACUUCUCUGUCACAGGAUCUCUACAGUUACAGGAAUACUCCUGUAUCAGCAAUUCCAAUUGCUGGACCUCAGUUGUCACAUGACCUCCACUGUAGCC